rnacentral:lncRNA from 1 species
GUGAGAAAAUCAAGGCUCAGAGAGGCUAAACAUCUUGCCCAAGAUCCAAUGGAGGUCAUCUACUUUGCCAGUGUUUUCAAGUGAGGAAAUCAAGGCUCAGAGAAGUUAAGUAUCUUGCCAAAGAUCCGAUGAAGGAAAAUGUCUUUGCCUCUAAAGGUCAUCCUGCUGCUCUCUCAGUUUCCCAGGGGUUUGUGCGUCUGCCUUCUGCUAUGCAUUUUCCCACGGCCUUGUUGGUUCCUUCCACAGAGGCAAAUCAGAGACAAGAGACGUCUUUUCCAAAACUCUAUCAAAAUGACAGAGCCUCGGCAUGGCCUUCCCCACCUCCUGCAGAUUGUGUCACACAGCUCACGGUGGACAGUGUGCCAGCUCUUGGGCAUGGCGAAAGAACGAUCUUUGGAAGAGCAGGGAAGCCCAGAAGUUCACAGAAAAGAAAGCUGUCAAGUUCUUCUCGCAACCGUGAGAGAGGCAGCACAGUGUUGGUGAAAACGCCUUGACUGUUGGGCUACUUUCAAGAUAAGCCUCUGCCGCUUUGUAGCAGGGUGAGUUAUGUUACUUCUCUGGGUUCCAGGCUCCUUAACUAUUUGUUCAUUCAAGAGGUUGGGGGAGAUAACUCUGGAGUUCCCUUUCCAGCUCCAUCACUCUGUAAAUCUAUGACCUCUUUUUCUAAGACACAAAUCAGGCACAGAGAGACGAGAUAGGAGGACAGAAAGAUGAAGGUAGAGAUGGAGAGGGCAAAAAAGAAAAACAAAUAACUUUCUUCCUGCAACUUGGCCAAACAGUGACAUGGUCUCUGGGGCCAGGUCAGUCCCCUCCCAAGGUCAUCUUCCUUUCCUCACUCCUGGUUUCAUGGUUAGGCACCCCAACUGGCCUUGCCUUGUCCUCUGCUGCUGUGUACCCCCAUCUUCUCUGUUUCCCCAGUUAAUAUAUAUCAGUUUCAUAUUCUGGAUAUGCUCAUUGAGCCUCCAAAGAGAGCACUGUAAACCAAUUUAUGCCAAUGAACCAAUAAGGCAACCAAGAGAGGUCCCUUCUUACCAAGGUAAAUAUAUUCAAUUUAAUAAGGGCUUUGUAGAUAUAAUGCACUCAUUUUCAUUGUAUAAGCUAGAGGAAGGACACUCAUGUCAGGAGGUUUAGGUACAAGAAGUGAAGAAACAUCAUGGUGGGCUAUAUGAGGAGUCUCUUAAGUGCACGAGCUGCUGCAUUUGAGAUCUUCUUCAUAUGAUACAGGUACCGAGACUAUGAGAACUGAAUUUUAUUGUAUUAAGUCUCAAUUUAAAAAUUUUAUUCUGCUGCUCCCCAAAACAGCCUCAUACUUAUUGGAACACAUAUGCCAAUUUUGGCUCAGAAAAUGUGGUCUCUGUGCAUGUUGAUGGAUAUCAUUUUCAGCACAUGUGCUCUCUUGAUACCUUGGGUAUAUCCUACCUUAGAGUAAUUAGCAUAUACGUCAUUUCAAAAAGGAAAAGUUUCAUCUUGGAUUUAGGGAAAGGUUAAAUGAGGAGAGAAACUACUAAAGAAAGAGGAAGAGAAACAUUAAAAAAAAGAGAGAAGUAGUGUAGAGUGAAAAGGAGUGGGAAAAGAUGAGCCAAUGAUGAACAGAAGAUGAAGAAAAAAAUGGGAAGAGUGCAACAAAAAUGUAAAACCCUUAAAAAACACGAUUUUAUGGUAAAAAAAAAUUCAUUCAAAAUUUUGUCCCAAGCCAGAAGUAAGAGUAAAACGUAAACUUUGAGACAUAGCGCCCCCUGGCAUACCUAAUUGCAACCUCAUUGUCUUCAGAUCUCUAGUGUAUUUUGUUUUCUUUUUGUUUGUUUUUGCUUUUGAGAUGGAGUCUUGCUCUGUUGCCCAGGCUAGAGUGCAAUGGCAUAAUCUCGUCUCACUGCAACCUCUACCUCCUGGGUUCAAGCAAUUCUCCUGCCUCAGCCUCCUAAGUAGCUGGGAUUACAGGCAUAUGCCACCAUGCCUGGCUAAUUUUGGUAUUUUUAGUAGAGAUGGGAUUUUGCCAUGUUGGCCAGGCUGGUUCCAAACUCCUGACCUCAAGUGAUUCACCUGCCUUAGCCUCCCAAAGUGCUGGAAUUACAGGCGUGAGCCACCGCACCUGGCCUCUAAUGUAUUUUGAUAUACUCAAAAUCUACUCAUAUUUAACAACAAACCCAAAUUAAUUAUAGUUCAGAAGGAACAGAGUUAGGCUUUCAAUUCAAGCUGUAAUAAAUCAUAUUAGUGAUUAUUUUUCUGUUUCUAAUAUAUCAAUUAAGCUCAUUAGAUUCCAGCUAAUUAAGUUACAAAGAUAAGGGACUCAUAUCAUACCCUAAGGAUGGAAUGAGCUCUAGCUUUUAAAUAAUUAUCUCUCUGAGGUUGAGGCUCUUCAGUUUCCUACGUUCUGCCAAUAGAUUGAGUUCAACAGUCAUUUGCAGGAAAAGCAAAAGGCAUUUAGAGAGUUCUAAGAUUGUCCGUCCUCAUCAGACACUGGGUAUGAGCACUGUAACUUUGAGACUCAGGGCCGUGCACCUGUGGGAGCUGGACCACACAUAUGCUGAAAAGAAGGCCAGCCACAGCUGAGAGCUAUGCU